rnacentral:rRNA from 1 species
GACGAACGCUGGCGGCGUGCUUAACACAUGCAAGUCGAACGGAAAGGCCCUGCUUUUGUGGGGUGCUCGAGUGGCGAACGGGUGAGUAACACGUGAGUAACCUGCCCUUGACUUUGGGAUAACUUCAGGAAACUGGGGCUAAUACCGGAUAGGAGCUCCUGCUGCAUGGUGGGGGUUGGAAAGUUUCGGCGGUUGGGGAUGGACUCGCGGCUUAUCAGCUUGUUGGUGGGGUAGUGGCUUACCAAGGCUUUGACGGGUAGCCGGCCUGAGAGGGUGACCGGCCACAUUGGGACUGAGAUACGGCCCGAACUCCUACGGGAGCAAGCAGUGGGGAAUAUUGCACAAGGGGCGGAAGCCUGAGGCAGCAACGCCGCGUGCGGGAUGACGGCCUUCGGGUUGAAACCGCUUUCGCCUGUGACGAAGCGUGAGUGACGGUAAUGGGUAAAGAAGCACCGGCUAACUACGUG